rnacentral:rRNA from 1 species
UACGUAGGGUGCGAGCGUUGUCCGGAAUUAUUGGGCGUAAAGAGCGCGCAGGCGGUCGUUCAAGUCGCGUGUGAAAGCCCCCGGCUCAACUGGGGAGGGUCACGCGAUACUGAUCGACUGGAAGGCAGGAGAGGGUAGUGGAAUUCCCGGUGUAGUGGUGAAAUGCGUAGAUAUCGGGAGGAACACCAGUGGCGAAGGCGACUACCUGGCCUGUUCUUGACGCUGAGGCGCGAAAGCUGGGGGAGCAAACGGG